GCUGUUACCGUUAGAGGUGUUGCAGGUGUGGGUGCUGUGUCACAUGUGCGUUGGUGGUAGCAGAGAGGAGACAGACUAUGUCUAUGUUCAGUGUCCUGACCUAUAAACAUCUGAGUGAUUAGUAGCCUAACUUU